rnacentral:rRNA from 1 species
UACAGAGGUCCCGAGCGUUGUUCGGAUUCACUGGGCGUAAAGGGUGCAUAGGUGGUGAGGUAAGUCGGAUGUGAAAUCUCCGGGCUCAACCCGGAAAUGGCAUUGGAAACUACCUUGCUGGAGGAUUUGAGGGGGGAUUGGAAUACUUGGUGUAGCAGUGAAAUGCGUAGAUAUCAAGUGGAACACCAGUGGCGAAGGCGAAUCCCUGGAAAAUACCUGACACUGAGGCACGAAAGCUAGGGGAGCAAACAGG